rnacentral:rRNA from 1 species
GGUUAGUGGCAGACGGGUGAGUAAUGCAUAGGAAUCUACCUAGUAGUAUGGGAUAGCCACUAGAAAUGGUGGGUAAUACUGUAUAACCCCUGCGGGGGAAAGAUUUAUCGCUAUUAGAUGAGCCUAUGUCAGAUUAGCUAGUUGGUGGGGUAAUGGCCUACCAACGCGGUGAUCUGUAGCUGGUCUGGGAGGAUGAUCAGCCACACUGGAACUGAGACACGGUCCAGACUCCUACGGGAGGCAGCAGUGGGGAAUAUUGGACAAUGGGCGCAAGCCUGAUCCAGCUAUGCCGCGUGAGUGAGGAAGGCCUUAGGGUUGUAAAACUCUUUCAGUAGCGAAGAUA